GCUGGGCACAGUGGCGCAUGCCUGUAAUUCCAGUGGCUCAGGAGGCUGAGACAGGAGGAUGGCGUGUUCAAAGCCAGCCUCAGCAAUGGCAAGACACUAAGCAACUCAGUGAGACCCUGUCUCUA
rnacentral:sRNA from 1 species